CUACCCGGCGGCGGGGGAUAACUCAGGGAAACUUGAGCUAAUACCGCAUACAGCACUGGCUUGGAAGCUGGAUGUGAAAGCUGGCCUCUCGAAGAAGCUGGCACCGUCGGAUGAGCUCGCGGCCUAUCAGCUAGUUGGCGGGGUAACGGCCUACCAAGGCGAUGACGGGUAGCUGGCGUGAGAGCGUGCCAGCCACACUGGGACUGAGACACGGCCCAG
rnacentral:rRNA from 1 species